CCCAUUCAAUAUUCAUAAUUCAUUCUUCCCAAGUUCCACUUCCACUCUUCUCUCUCCGUUGGCCUCGACUUUGUACUUCUCGAUCUGCCACUCAGCCGCUUAGGGAAGAUUCCACAUUUCUGCCGGCCUUCAACGUUCGAGCCCUAGAUGCAGUACCUUCAAGCCCUUGAACUUCUCUAGAUGCGACAGCCGACAGCAGUCCUUCGAAUCUACAUUUCCACGAUUCAACAGCAGAAGAAGAAGGUGAAGCCCCUUAACUCUGAUUCCUAAACCGCACUCAAGUUCUUCUUAACUUUUCUUCUGUUAAUUACUUAUUUUGCUUUGUGUUUUGUGUACUGUUGUGAUUUUUUCUUUUGAACAUAUGAAAUUACUUUUGAAUUGCUUGAAGUCUUGAAUUGUUGUUAAAUUACUUUUGAAUUGCUCUUUAAAUUAGACUUAGAAGCCCCAGGCUUGUGAAGUCCUCGAGCCUAAUUCGAUGAAUACUGAAGCCUGCUCAAGUCUCUAUGUACUCUGUGAGUUUGCUUACUCUAUCUCUGUGAUUGAAGCCUACUUCCAUUCCAUAUUGCUAAAUGCUAAUGCUGCCUCUCUAUGACUAUGAAAGCAUUUUAUAAUUCUGUGACUGUGAAAUGCUAAUUGCUUACUCUGUGAAUUGAUUCCAGACUUUCUAGUAAUUAUUGCUAUUUGAAUUGCACUGUGAAUUGAAAACAUUUUUAAAUCUUAAUAGCUAUAAUGUUUAAAUACAGAGAUGAAAUGAAAAGAUUCUUUCAAAGAAAAUGAAUACGAUUUCUAUUGAUUGAAUUUCCUAUUAUGGAUGGCAGGAGGGCCGGGUGGCUUUGAAGGUCAUUUUUAGUAUUGUUUUAUAUUUUUAUCAUCAUUACAUCUAUGACUAAAAACUCAAUGUUCGGCAUGGACAAAAUUGUGCCCGCACUGAACGCCAAUCCUUGCUCCGCCCCUGUGUGUUAGGACAAACAAUGUAAUUUAUUGAGACUCUUUAAUUCAAUUUUCAAGAUCUUAGUUCUCAAAUUCACGUGUUGAUUUUAUUUAUAGUGUUUUAUGCAUGAAUUACUU
rnacentral:lncRNA from 1 species